UACGAAGGGGGCGAGCGUUGUUCGGAUUUACUGGGCGUAAAGGGCGCGUAGGCGGCCCUCCUUGUCGCGUGUGAAAGCCCCGGGCUCAACCUGGGAAUUGCGCGCGAAACGGGAGGGCUUGAGUUCGGGAGAGGAGCGUGGAAUUCCCAGUGUAGAGGUGAAAUUCGUAGAUAUUGGGAAGAACACCGGUGGCGAAGGCGGCGCUCUGGACCGAGACUGACGCUGAGGCGCGAAAAGCGUGGGGGAGCAAACAGG
rnacentral:rRNA from 1 species